GCGGACGUGGUGCAUGGUGCACUCCUUCAUCUCAUGCUCAUGUUCCGCUCCCAGUAAAGUGUUGAAGGCUUCGGGGUUCGAUUCCCCGCGUCCGCA